GGAUUAGAUACCCUGGUAGUCCACGCCGUAAACGAUGUGUGCUAGUUGUUGGAACCAUAGGUUUCGGUGACGGAGAGAAAUCAUUAAGCACACCGCCUGGGGAGUACGGCCGCAAGGUUAAAACUCAAAGGAAUUGACGGGGACCCGCACAAGCGGUGGAGCAUGUUGUUUAAUUCGAAGCAACGCGAAGAACCUUACCCACUCUUGACAUCCUCCUUGGGACUUUCAGAGAUGAUUGUCUUCGGUUCGGCCGGGGGAGUGACAGGUGCUGCAUGGCUGUCGUCAGCUCGUGUCG
rnacentral:rRNA from 1 species